AUUGAACGCUGGCGGCAGGCCUAACGCAUGCAAGUCGAGCGGCAGCGGGAAAGUAGCUUGCUACUUUUGCCGGCGAGCGGCGGACGGGUGAGUAAUGCCUGGGAAAUUGCCCAGUCGAGGGGGAUAACAGUUGGAAACGACUGCUAAUACCGCAUACGCCCUACGGGGGAAAGCAGGGGACCUUCGGGCCUUGCGCGAUUGGAUAUGCCCAGGUGGGAUUAGCUAGUUGGUGAGGUAAUGGCUCACCAAGGCGACGAUCCCUAGCUGGUAUGAGAGGAUGAUCAGCCACAAUGGAACUGAGACACGGUCCAGACUCCUACGGGAGGCAGCAGUGGGGAAUAUUGCACAAUGGGGGAAACCCUGAUGCAGCAAUGCCGCGUGUGUGAAGAAGGCCUUCGGGUUGUAAAGCACUUUCAGCGAGGAGGAAAGGUUGAUGCCUAAUACGUAUCAACUGUGACGUUACUCGCAGAAGAAGCACCGGCUAACUCCGUGCCAGCAGCCGCCGUAAUAC
rnacentral:rRNA from 1 species